CAUCACAGGGGGGUAGGAUGAUGUGGAUGUAACUGGUUAUGUAAAAGUACAGGGCACAUUUGGAGUGAGCCAGAUGGGAUGAUGGCUGUCAUUUUCGAGACUAACGCGCUUCUUGUCUGCGUCUGGAAAUUUUGCUUAUGCAUGACCUUGUGAACUCGCCUGCGGCGUGACCUCGAACAUCCCCUCUUACGGCUCCUCUGAACACCCCUCCACAUCAUUGUGCUCAUUUGUGCAAGCUAUUACCCAAGCAGGAAGUGACAUCAACGGGUCCAAACUAAAAAUAUGUCGCAGGACGGACUGUCUAGGAUGUUCAGGACCGGUGUUUGUAAAGGAGGAUGGCUCGCACCGGCUCCACAAAGUGAUGCUCAUUGAAGGAUGCAGCAGAGCGCCACACAGGCGAGACAGACAGACGUACUGGAGGCUGAGUCCUCUUGUUCCUCCGUCUUAUCUAUCUCUAUCCCAACAGCUCCUGGCUAUCUUCACCCACUAUGGCUCCUUCAUGAUGGCCCCCUAAUCUCUGCCAGUGUGGUUCCAUAGUUAUACCACGUUUGAGGGGCCAUGAGUAAUACUAGAAGCCUAUAGGGAAAAGAAGACGCCACUCCGCUCCAGCUUCCUACCACAGAGCUGUACUCAGCCUGCACAGUUAGGCCGUCGAGCCAUUAAUGAGUCCCAGCACUGAUAAUGAAGCCACACAGGUGGUCUGAGCCAGUGUGGCACAGGAGCUGGAGCACAGAAGGAAGGUAGAUUAGGAUAAUUACCUGGCCACGGGGGAACGAUGUGUAAGAUAUGUCACUUCUUCGAUCGACGAAGGAGCAAGUGCGAUAUAAUGAGGUGCAGACACCCUUUUCUCAGAAAGGGAAAAAA